UUACCUGGUUUGAUCCUGCCAGUAGUCAUAUGCUUGUCUCAAAGAUUAAGCCAUGCAUGUCUAAGUACAGGCCGAAUUAAGGCGAAACCGCGAAUGGCUCAUUAAAUCAGUUAUGGUUCAUUGGAUCUUACCUUGUCCUACUUGGAUAACUGUGGUAAUUCUAGAGCUAAUACACGCGAGCAAGCCCCGACCGGCGACGGGAAGGGCGCUUUUAUUAGAUCAAAACCAAUCGGGCUCUUCGGGGCCCGUACCCCAGUGGUGACUCUGAAUAACUUUGUGCUGAGCGCAUGGUCCUGGUACCGGCGCCGAAUCCUUCAAGUGUCUGCCUUAUCAGCUUUCGAUUGUAGGUUAUGCGCCUACAAUGGCUAUAACGGGUAACGGGGAAUCAGGGUUCGAUUCCGGAGAGGGAGCCUGAGAAACGGCUACCACAUCUAAGGAAGGCAGCAGGCACGCAAAUUACCCACUCCCGGCACGGGGAGGUAGUGACGAAAAAUAACGAUGCGGGACUCAUCCGAGGCCUCGCAAUCGGAAUGAGUACACUUUAAAUCCUUUAACGAGGAUCUAUUGGAGGGCAAGUCUGGUGCCAGCAGCCGCGGUAAUUCCAGCUCCAAUAGCGUAUAUUAAAGUUGCUGCGGUUAAAAAGCUCGUAGUUGGAUUCGAGUCACGGAGCGAGGGUUCACCGCCCGGUGCUUACUCUCCGCCAUCCGGACGUUGAUGUCGGCGUGGCACGGGGUGCUCUUCACCGAGUGUCCCGGCGCCGCCGACGAGUUUACUUUGAAAAAAUUAGAGUGCUCAGAGCAGGCCGUUAUUGACGCGCCUGAAUAGUUGUGCAUGGAAUAAUGGAAUAGGACCUCGGUUCUAUUUUCCGUUGGUUUUCGGAACCCGAGGUAAUGACUAAUAGGAACAGUCGGGGGCAUUCGUAUUGCGACGUUAGAGGUGAAAUUCUUGGAUCGUCGCAAGACGAACUACUGCGAAGGCAUUUGCCAAGAAUGUUUUCAUUAAUCAAGAACGAAAGUUAGAGGUUCGAAGGCGAUCAGAUACCGCCCUAGUUCUAACCAUAAACGAUGCCAACUAGCGAUCCGCCGGCGUUAUUCCCAUGACUCGGCGGGCAGCUUCCGGGAAACCAAAGUUUUUGGGUUCCGGGGGAAGUAUGGUUGCAAAGCUGAAACUUAAAGCAAUUGACGGAAGGCCACCACCAGGAGUGGAGCCUGCGGCUUAAUUUGACUCAACACGGGGAACCUCACCAGGCCCGGACACCGAAAGGAUUGACAGAUUGAGAGCUCUUUCUCGAUUCGGUGGGUGGUGGUGGCAUGGCCGUUCNUAAGUNGGGGGAGCGAUUUUUUCUGGUUNAUUUCCAUUAACGAAA
rnacentral:rRNA from 1 species